rnacentral:tRNA from 1 species
GCCUUCUUAGCUCAGUGGUAGAGCGUUCCACUCGUAAUGGAAAGGUCAGUCGUUCAAUCCGGCUAGGAGGCA